GGUGGAAAAGUCAAAAAGAAAACCCAGGAACGCCCCCCGACCCUGUCGUUGUCAGGGUCUCCCGGCUCCCCCGGGCUUCCUCUCUCCGCCCCUGGUCUUCCUGCGUUUGUUCGACGGGCACGGCCCGAGGUUUCCAGCUGCACCUGCGGGAAGGAGAAAAACGCACGCCUGUUCCAUCUUCUUAGGAGGAGAAGUGUGAAGCUUUUUGAAUGGCCACAGUAUAUUGCCUUAAUUCUCCUUCACUUUCAGCGGUUUUGUCUGCCCCGCCUCAGGAAGACCGUCUGUGUUCUUUCCUCCAUAGCCCAGGCACCGAAGGCACAUGCCGUGCCUAUAAAUUACCUGUCUCGUCCCAGACUCUAGUCGUUGUGGGCCACCAUGCUGUGAGCUGUGUGGAUGUAGCAGUAAGUGAACGAAGGCAAACUUCCUUGGAUUGGUAAUGAACUGUGGUCCUCACUCUUCCCAUCUUCCAGAAUAAAAUGCUUCUUAGAGGAGAUAGCUCCCAGCACCCCUCAGUGUUCCUGUGACCAGAGCAGGUCUUAGACGUGAUCGCCCAGUGGUCUCAUCAUAAGCAAAGCGAGGCUCUUAUCUUACCCGACCCCUGAGCCUGCCUUCCCGCAGCCUACACAUUCCUGCAGACAUGGAGUUGCCUGAGGUAAGAGAAUGCAAUCUCUAGAAACCCAGAGCUGGCUUGGCUCUCAGAGCUGGUUUUGGCAUGAUGAGCUCUGUGUGUGUACUGGAGCCAUGACCUGGCCCAGGGUUGACCUGCCAAAGGCCAAAGACGUGUACGUGUAAAGGAUUUAAAAGGUGUCAAUAGCCAUUUCAAUCCUCAAAAUUAACAUCUGGACUCUAUCAGCUUGAGAAAAGAGGUGAUUCUGUAGAUCUGCUCGAAUCUGCAGGUCAUUCGUUGGACAUUAAAAUGACAGAUACCCCGGGUGAUACAAAGCUCAGAGCGCGCGCGUUCUGGAGGACCGAGACUUCACCAGCCACUAGAUGGCACUGUUUCGCUACCGCUGAAUUCACCACAGACUCCAUGCGGUCUUCGUGCUGUAGAAUCACGUUUUAAAUCAGCAAACUUCCGGUUAAAAGGUCAAAGAUUAAGGGAAGUCUAAUCAAUGGUUUGUUUUUUUAAGGAACCUACUCG